UAACUGAAGAGUUUGAUCAUGGCUCAGAUUGAACGCUGGCGGCAGGCUUAACACAUGCAAGUCGAGCGGGGGAAGGUAGCUUGCUACUGGACCUAGCGGCGGACG
rnacentral:rRNA from 1 species